AUGAUCUCACGGCGAAGCCUUAGGGGAAAUGAUCGGGGAGGUUUGCUUUAUGCAGUGGUAUCAAGAUAUUGGAGAAACGAAAAAGUUUUCACAUACCUCCCGACGGCGAUAGAGACGGAGGUGUGCUAUAAUGAAGGUUUCAACGUUCAGGUAUCUCGUCUUGUCUUCAACUCGUAUUCUUCUUCUCGCUCAAUUCUGAAUUCUCGUCUUCUUCCACUUCCGCUGGCUUGA
rnacentral:lncRNA from 1 species